rnacentral:tRNA from 16 species
GGAAGUGCCAAGGUCACUGGUGGGCCUCCCGGACUUCAAAUCCGGUGUGGGGCGCUAAAACCGUCCCAGGUGGGUUCGAUUCCCAUGCACUUCC